rnacentral:lncRNA from 1 species
UUUCAUUUCCUACUAUCUAUUCUCGUUGUAGUUCUUCCAUGAAAACCUUUAAUUUGGAUGUCUCAGCCAUAUUUCGUCUCGUGCGCAACGGUUGUAAAUCAUUAUUGCUCCCACCAGAUACUUUUCUUUUCCUCUUUUUAAUGCUUCUUGUGCGAGUUUGUGGGCACAAUCAUUUUCUGAUCUAUGAACAAAAUGGAAAUCAAUUUCUUGAAAAUGGUCAUUUUUGCUUUGAAUAUCUCUAAUAAUCGCCCCAAUAAUUGAUUUAUCUGGUGCUGUUAUUUUACAUUUCGUAAUGACCAUUCUUGAAUCCCCCAUAAUUACUACUGAGUUAAAACCCAUUGAGAUUUCUAAUUUAAUGGCUUGUAAACCUGCAUGUGCCUCUACCGUAAAUGGAGAUGGGAUUGCCUUAUGUAUGACUGUCUUUGAGACUAAAGUCUCGCCCAUCAAGCCCGAACCACCAAACUCAAAGCCGAUUUGAAAGAUCUUCUGUCAAAAGCUGCAUCGAAAUAAAUUACCACCCUCGUGUUCCCUUCAUGUUAUCUCUACCUUCUAUCAACACAUGAGGUAAACGUCCUUUUCUCUAGACCAUCUAGCUCUACCAUGUAGCUUUGGAUUCGCUUCGACAAAUCCUUUCCCGUUAUGACUUUCCCCUCGUGUAUUAGCUGAUUUCUUGAACUCCAGAUUGACCAUAAAGCACAGCAAAAAAGUCGAUAUUGUUUACUAAUACUCAUGUUGAAAACUCAGGUAAGCCACUCCCAUAAACUUGGAAUAGUAUUAUUGAUAAUCCAAGAGAGAUUUAAAGUCUGCCAUACCUCUAUUGUUGUAGGGCAGUCCUGGAAAACAUGAUUGCUGUCUUCUUCUGAAUUAUGACACUAAAGACAAAAAAAUUCACUGCCACUCUUUUGUGUCUGAGAUUAAUUAGAGUAGGGACAUAGUUCCAGGAGAUUCACAAUAUUGUGAUUGUAAUUUUUAAAGGAAGAUGUAAAUUCCAUAAUUUCUUGUAGAAAUCUUUAAUCUCGACCUUUAUUAAAUUAGUACUAGAAUCUAAGUUAGCCUUUUGUAAUAGUUUGUAGGCGCUUCUGACUGAGAAUUCACUAGAAGGUUCUCCUCUCCAAACUCGAAAAUAAUCGUGGACUGCUUUCGCCAAAGGAAUCUAUAAAAUUUUCUGCGCAAUGUCUGCAUGAAAGGUAUUAACGAUUAAAUCUACCUUCCAAUUUUUAUUUGAAGCAUCAAUUAGAUCCAAAACUAACUUGAGUUCUUCAUUGUUGGAUCUAUUGUUUAAUCUAUCUAUAUCGACUCCCGGUAUCCACCGAUCAUCCCGAACAAAAUUUUGAUCCCCUUAUCGACCCUCCAGCACAAACCGCUUUUCAAAAAACCCUUUGUUACCCAAACACUCUUCCAAGUAAGCGAAGGUAAAUUCACUAACUGUGCGCUUAUAAAAUCUGAAUUUGGAUAAUAUUUGGCGUUCAAAACCCUAGCUAAUAAAGAAUUUGGAAAAUUAAAGAGACGCCAACCUUGCUUGGAUGAUAACGCAAUAUUAAAUUGCCCAAGAUUUCUGAAACCCAAACAACCAUUCUCUUUUAAGAUAGAAAAAUCCCUCCAACACACCAGUGAAUACCCCUUUUGCCACGACCCUUCUGUCACCAAAAAUUCACAAUAAUACUCUCUAGAUCAGCACACGAGGAUUUAGGUAGUAAAAAGCAGGCCAUUGUAUAGGUCGGUAUAGACUGAAGGAUAACCUUUAUGAAUUCUUCUUUCCCGCCUUGAGAGAGAUGCCUAGUACUCCAAUUGUCAAUUCGCUGCUUAAAUAUGUCCUUCAAAUGUUGGGCAGACCAAGAUAACGUUAUGGGUCACUUGAACUGCGUACACGAAGUAUGCUAGCAACCAAUCGUCUUUCUUCCUCCUGCGUAUUAGUGCUAAAGAAAACGAUUGAUUUGUCACAAUUGACACACUGACCCGAACAAAUUCCAUACUCGGGCAGAAUUCCUUUUAAUAGAAGAGCUAAUUUUAUUUGUUGCCUCCCCAAACAAAAUGCAAUCAUCUGCAAAUAACAAAUGCGAUAUUUAUGGACCACUCCUACUAGCCUUAACCCCUCCUAAUAAUCAUUCCCUAAUUGCAAGUCGCAUGAGGCAAGAUAAGCCCUCUCCAAAUAUUAAAAAUAAAAACGGGUUCAAAGGGUCAUGCUGUCUUAGUCCUCUAGCUGGACAAAAGUUUUCUCUAACAUGACUAUUAAAGACCACUGAAUAAGAAACAGUGGAUACAUAUUUCAUAAUAGAUUCAAUCCAUCCAGUAUGAAAACCUAUUCGCACAAUUAUUUCACUUACAAAGCUCUACUCAACCUUAUCAUACGCUUUACUCAUGUCAAGUUUUAUCACCAUAAAUCCCUUUUUCUCCAUCUUCUUCUGUUUUAAAGUAUGUAAUAUUUCGUAAGCCAGCAAAACAUUGUUUGAAAUUAACCUCCCUGUCACAAAAGCACUUUGUGCAGCAUCAAUGCAUUUCUCUAACACUUCCCUAAAUCGAUUCACUGUAACCUUUGCCAUCAGUUUAUAAAGUACAUUGCAUAAACUAAUGGGACGAAAAUGAGUAAUAUUGGAAGGAUUAGCUAUUUUAGGAAUUAGCACAAUAUGAGUUGUAUUGAUCGUACUAAUAUCCAUACCUCCAUUCAAAAGUUGUAGAUAAAAGGUUGUGACAUCUUCCCCAAUGAUAUGCCAACACUUCUGAUAAAAUAAAGCUGAGAAUCCGUUUUCACCAAGUGCUUUUGUAGGCCCCAUCUCAGAAAGCACCGCCUAAAUCUCCUCCUUUGUAUAUUACGCCGUGAGUCUUUGAUUAUCCUCCUCGAAAACACAACGAUCAAUACCCAACAAAAGAUAUUCAUAAUUUCCCCUUUCCCUAGCCAAGAAUAAAUUCGAAAAAUAAGAUCUAGCAAUUACUUCCAUUUCCCGUACAACCUCCAUUUCCUUUCCAUCCUCAUUCUGAAUUAUUCAAAUAAAAUUUUUCCUUUUUUUCUGUGUCGCUUGACUAUGAAAAAAGGUUGUAUUCAUAUCCCCAAGUUUCAACCAAUUAACUUGAGCCUUUUGUUCUCAGUGGCGUUCAUCCUUUUCAAUCUCAAAGUUUAGUUGAACCUUCGCAUCAAUCAUUUCGGCCAAAUUAUUAUCAUCCCUUUCGGCUCCCAUCAGCUCUGAUAGUCUUGAGGUUAAAAGCUCAUUUCUCCAUUUCUAUUUUGUCGUAUUCAUAUAGCCUAUCUCUCCAAACCCUUUUUAAGCUCUCCAACUUUUACAGCAAAUCUCUUAUUGACAUUUCCCAAAUAAGUUUAACUUCAUCAGUGAAUGAUUCCUCCAAAACCCAUCAAGCUUCAAACUUAAAUGCCUUUCCAAACAACCAGUUGUCGUCCCUUCUCGUAGUAAUUAAAAGAGGACAAUGAUCAGAAAAAGAGUGCAAAGAUGUUGAAUUGAUUGAAACAUGGACAUAUAUUCCUCAUUAGCCACUCCUUUAUCCAAACGCUCUUGAAUGUUCGUUUUUAACAAAUUACCUCUCUCCCAUGUGAACCAAUUACCAGAAUAACCCACAUCCAUCAGAUGACAAUCCUCCAACACGUUUCAAAAAAUUUCCAUUCUUCUUUCAUCAUGAGGUAACCCUCUAUUUUUCUAAAAACCAUACAUAAUUUCAUUAAAAUCUCCACAAACUAACCAAGGGAUCUCCUCAUUGCUGCAAAGACUUUUCAAAAGAGCCCAUAAUUCAUCCUUAUUCUAUGCAUAAGGGGUGCCAUAUAAACUUGUGUAUCUCUAUUUAUUCCCAUCAUCAGAAUCUUCAAUUAUCACAUCGAUGUACCUUUUGGAAAAAUUUUGAAACACAAUCCUCUUCUAAACCCAUUAUAGUCAACAUCAAUGCCAUUAGCAAAAUUACAACUUCGUCGAACUCUUUCCAUCUGAAUCUUGCUUAUCUUUGUCUCUAUAAAGACGACCAUCUAGGGAUUAUAUAUCUUCAACGAAUGUCGAAGUCUUCGAACUGUCCAUAGAUUCCCAAAACCACGGACAUUCCAACUUAAGAUUUUCAUUGAGUUCGGUUGGCUUGCCUUUUGGCAGCCACUAAUGGUAAAAGAUUACUUUCCAACAUUCUCUUAUUCCUAACCUCUAAAAUAUUGAUCUCUUCCCUAGCUAUCGAUUCUUCAAUCUCCCCCUAGGUCUCUUUUUCCCCUUCUCUCCGAUUAACACACCUUCUUCCAAAUCAUGAUCCAUUGCAGAUUGGACCUGUCUGACCGAUAAAUUCCCCUCUUUGUGAGGAAAAAGACGAUCUCCCUUCCAAAUUGAUCUCUAAUAUAGGAUUGAUGACAUUCCUGUAUCCCGAUUUAUUUCCCACUUCUCAUAACCUGCUUCCUGAGAUCCGACUACCAUCACAAUUUCCACCUGUCUCUCUCCGCAUCCUCAUGUAACCAAACACUGUUCAGUGCUAAAGCUCUUCUAGAUUGCGCUCACAACGACAAAUCCUAACCCAAUACAAUAAUUUCCACACCUAACGACAUUUUUGCCUCACAAAAUGAGUCACUGUCACCCAACCGACCACAAUAGAAAUAGAAAAGUGUCAGUCUUUCAUAUUUAAACUGACAUAUGAGCAAUUUUCAAAGAAUAUAACCUACUUCUUCCUCUUUAAAGGAUGACGUACAUUCAGUUGAACUCUGAUUCACAUGAAAUAAUGAUUUCCUUUCCCCAGAUCCGAGCCAUCAUACUCCAGAAAUUUACCUAUGAAAUCACCUAAUUGCUUUACCAAAUUCUCAAAGAAAAAGUCAGUAGGAACAUCAUACCUAUGUAUGAUAUGAAAUUUUUAAUUAUUACUUAAAACUCAUUUAAAUUUUACUAUAGACUAUUUUUUAAAAAUAUAUUUUUAAAUAUUUAAUUUUUUAAACACAUGGAAAAUUCGUACAUCACACAUGCACAAAAUUUAGGUAUUAUUAAUAUAUAAUUAGUUUUUAAUUUAAUUUUUUUUUAAAAAUUAAAUAUAAUUUAAAGCUCAAGUCUUAUUAUAAAUGUAUAAUAGCAUUCUCUAUAACAUCUAAUGCUUUCAUAAACAAAUGAGGUUGUUAUAAAUAGAGUUGAUAAUAAAUGUAAUAUUUAUGAUUAUAUAAUACGUAAAUGAAUUUUACAUGUAAUAUUUUUUUUCUUUAUUUGUACGUAAUACUUAUGAUUAUAUAAUGUCUUAUGAUUAUAUAAUGUGUAUAUAAAUUUUGUAUAUUUGAAUUAUUAUUUACUCAAUAUAUAAUAUGAGUUUAAAAAAAUUAAACUGAUAAAUUAUUUUUUAUUUUUUAUAUUACUAAAAUUAACAUUUGAAUAUUUUUAUUUUUUUUUAUUUUGAAUAUUAAGAAAAACAUUUUAUUGAAUUUAUAAAGUCAAUGCUAAAUUCUAAAAUUAACCCAAACCUAUAAUCUAAAUUAUCCCCAAAGGUAAAACUCAAAUAACGUACCAAAUUAUUAUCAAACACAAAUAAAUUCAUUAUAUCUCAAAUCUCAAACCUAAAAUAGAAAAAAAAUCUAAUACCCAAACAUAAUUUAAUUAAAUAUCAAUCUAAAAUUUAAUUUAAUAACGUUGCGAUAUUAUUAUGGGAUAUUAUCUUUUAGAAAUAUCUAAAUAUAUUAUAUAUUUUUCUUAAUCCUACAAAAUACUGCAGUAUAAAUAUUAUGUAUCUAUCAAUAAGAUAGAAAGAGAUUACCUUAUUCUUGUCAAAUAAAAAUAAAUUUUGAAAAUUUGUAUUACUAUAUUGUGUAUACUAUAACUAUGCAUUAUUUAAAUGUAUAUCAACUUUAUAAAUAUAUAUAAACAUUAUCAUUGGUUAUAUUAUUAACAAUUUAUCAUAGUAAUAAUUAGGGGUGUUCAAUCGGUUAACCGACUCGAACUAGCAUUAACCUAAUUAAUCAAAUAUUUUAAACCCUUAACCAUUAACCAAACCGAAAUUUUUCAAUAAAGAAUUAAUCGAACCAAAUUUUUUCGGUUAAUUCGGUCAGUUAACUGAAUUAACCGAAAUUUAUAGAUUUAUAUAUUUUUUGGUUAAAACAAGUAUAAAACAUAUAAAAAAAUUAACUGAAUUAACCGAAUUAACCGAAAUUAAAGUAUUGAAUCGCUACAUAAUUAAAAACACUACAUAAGUCUUGAAAUUAACACAUAAUUAAAAUGUAAGUCUUUAAUAUUCUCCAUUUGCAUCCAUUUCUUCUCUCCAAAAGAUCUUUAUUUGCAUUAUACCUACAAAAAAAUAUGUGCAAAAAAUGAGCAUGGUAGAAAUAUAUGCAUUUAAAAAAAAUCAAAUAAUAUAAACAAAUAAAUAGGUUGUAAGUUAACAAGAAUAAGAUACUAAGCAUACCCUUCAACUCACGAAAGCACAUAAAUUUAGGGUAAGUUCGGAUGCAUUCCAAGAAAAGUCUAAACAUUGAAUUGAUUAAAUAAGUUAAUGUAGGAGUGAUGUGGUAAAAAAAAAUUGAAACUAUUAAUUAAAAAUAAAUAAACCAUUUUCAAUCUUGUCAAGCUCUUGGAUUUGUUCUUCAAUCUUUUUUGUCUUUUUGUAAUGAUGAUUUUCAAAUCCAAUCUUGAGUACACACAAGAGCUUGUACACUUUUAGGAGUUAAAUAACUCCUAAAUUGAUCAAGCACACGCCUCUGGUGUUAAAUGCAGACGUCUGAAACCAAUAUAGCUAACACAUCUUUGGCCAUCUUCGAAAGAGUGGGAAAUCUAGGGCUAUUCACUUUCCACCACAAUAAAAUAUCAAAAUCUUUAACAAAAUUCUCAUUAGCCUUAGCUAGAUAUUUAUCCAAUUCAGAUGUUUUAUCUUCACCACCAUUUUCCAACUCACUCUUUUUAUAUAAAGCUAGCAUACACCUUUUCAUUUUUUGUUGUGGUUCACCAAGCACACUCAAUUGGCUACAAGCACUACGAAGUGGAGGUUUAUACUCAUCAAACAAUUCAUACAAAUUUUCCUUCAAUUUUUGCAUCAUUUCACAAGUUUUUUCAAAAUUAGACAUUUCAUGAAACAACCCGAUUUUUAACUAAAUCGGAACAAUAGUUUUAAGACCACAAAUCUGAGGUCGUAAAAUUAUUUUAAUAUUAUUUUUUAUGUGAAUAAGUAUGUGAAUAAGUAUUUGUGAAAAUUUUGUGAGCUAAUUUUAUCUUUUAAUAGCUCAAUUUGAGAAAAAGGACUAAAUCGUGUAAAAUGAAAAAGUUGCAUUCCACUUGUUAAAAGUGCUUAAUUGUCAUGGCUUAUCAAAUGAAAAGUCCUUAUGUGGUAAUUAUACCAUUGAUAGUGGAACUUGACAUAAAUAGGCAUUUAAUGGAUGUUAAUUAAUGGUUUAAUGUUAAGGUUAAUUUGGUAAUUGUUAAAUAAGUUAAUUAAAAUACACCAAAACAUAAAUUUUGUCCAUCUUUCUUUCUUUUUGAACUGAGACUAGAGAAGAAGAAAGCCAUUCUAGGGCUUUUCAUUUGGUUAGACUAAUUCAAGUAAUUGAGAUCAAGAAAGAAAGAACUCGGAUUUAGAUCGAGGAAAAUCGAAGGUUAUCGAGUAAUCGAUCCGAUUCGUCAAUUCUUAGUACGAGGUAAGUUCGUACGUGAUAGACAUUGUUACAAUUAUGUUUUUAAUGCUUUAAAAUUUUAUAAAUUGUAUAAAUACUACUACAAUUGCGUACGACGACAAAUCGACUACGUUUAGCACUUAGUGUGCGAAUUGGAAUAGCUUCGAUUUUAUGUGGCACUAAGUCCGCAAUACCGAGAUAGCUUCGGUUUAAUGUGAUGGCACUAAGUGUGCGAUAUCAUUAUAGCUUCGGCUAAACAAUUAUGCACUAAGUGUUCGAGUUCUUAAAGCAUUGAAAGAUUUUCAGAUGAUUAAACGUAUUGAACAAAGAGGAGAGAAUGAGAUACAUGAAUACGAAAAAGUACAGGUAUGAACGAUACCUAUGUGGUAGUUGAUACUAUGUGUAUGAAGCUUGAUGAUUUUGUAUAUACAUGAUAAAUGGUCAUGGAUUAGAAUUGAAUGUUGAUAUGAGAACUACUAAGUGUUUAUUAAUUUAUGAUUUGUAUAUUAUGAACUGUUGAGUAUUUUUGGUACGAACUUACUAAGCUAUGAAGCUUACUGUGUGUUAUUUUUUUGUGUUUUAUAGAUUAUCGAAGCUAGCUCGGACUCAGAGAUCGUUGGGAAUACAUCAUCACACUAUUGAUCAUCUCGUUGGUACUUUGGCAGCCUUGUAUAUAUGGUAUAUGGCAUGUAUAGGCUAGUGUUAUUUUGGUAUGUUUUGAGUCAUGAUAUUAGCCAUGAGAUUUGGCUUGUAAAUGUGGUAUGUAUAGCUAUUUAAGUUGGCUUGAAUUAUGUGUUUGGUAAGUUAUACGAUGUAUAUAAUUCUUAUGUGAUGAUUUGAUAUGGGAUGUUGAAAUGGUAGGUUUUGUGGCAUGAAAUAGGUGUUAAGAUGAUGAAG